UGAAAAUUGGAAAAUAUUUUGGCCAUUAUUU
rnacentral:piRNA from 1 species